AAGACUAUAGACCUGCGGAGUACCUGCGGAGGGAUCAUUAUGGGAAGAAGGAAGGCAACACAAAGCUGUUGUCCAACAAAAAAUUAUCGCAACUAGAACGGAUUGUUUCAGAGUGAGUGUGGGGGGGGGGUUGACUUGACUUGACUUGACUUGACUUGACUUGACUUGACUUGACUUGACUUGACUUGACUUGACUUGACUUGACUUGACUUGGACACACACGCACAGGAAAAGGAUUUG
rnacentral:misc_RNA from 1 species